rnacentral:rRNA from 1 species
UAUUAUAAAGUGUGUAUUGAAAUGUCUGAGGUAUUAAUAGUUAAGUUCUAUAAACCUAAAGAAUUUGGCGGUGUUUUAGUCUUUUCAGAGGAAUCUGUUUAUUAAAUGAUAAUACACGAUUGGUGUGAUUUGAUUUAUUUGUUUGUAUAUCGCCGUCAUAAGGGUAUUUUUUGAGGAUUUAAAUUUUCUUAAUUUAAUAAUAUAAAGGAUGUCAGGUCAAGGUGCAGCUGAUGGUUAAAUUUGUAAUGGAUUACAAUAGAUUUAUUUAUACGGAUAUUAAUACUGAAAGAUUGAUGGAAGGUGGAUUUGAUUGUAAAUUUUUUUUAAUUGUUGUUUUGAUUUUGGCUCUAAAAUGUGUACAUAUCGCCCGUCGCUCUCAUUUAAAAUGAG